UAUGUGAUCGUCUCUCGCAUAUCAAUAAGCGGAGGAAAAGAAACUAACAAGGAUUCCCCUAGUAACGGCGAGUGAAGCGGGAAGAGCUCAAAUUUGAAAUCUUAAAGGGUUUCCCUUUACGAAUUGUAGUUUAAAGAAGUGUUUUCUGUUGAGGUUUUGGUAAAAGUUCUUUGGAAUAGGACAUCAUAGAGGGUGAGAAUCCCGUAUUUGACCUUUACUUUCAACUUUGUGAUACACUUUCAAAGAGUCGGAUUGUUUGGGAAUGCAGUCCAAAAUGGGUGGUAAAUUUCAUCUAAAGCUAAAUAUUGGCGAGAGACCGAUAGCGAACAAGUACCGUGAGGGAAAGAUGAAAAGAACUUUGAAAAGAGAGUUAAACAGUACGUGAAAUUGUCAAAAGGGAAGCGUUUGACACCAGUGUUGUUUUUCUGAAAAUCAAUUAAAGAACUGUUUAUGCUAAGUUGUUUAGACUUUAUCAGCUAACUGUUUAGUUUUGAGCUUUUCUUUAAUGCACUUUUCAGUUAACAAGUCGACAUCAAUUUCUUUUGCUGUAAAAAAGCUUGAGGAAGGUGGCUUGAGAUUCGUCUUAAGUGUUUAUAGCCUCUUGCCUAUGCAGUCGGAGAGAUUGAGGUCUGCAGCGUAGAUCCUUCGGGGCUAAAUGCAUUUGUGCUAAGUUAUAGCAUUUUAUAGACGAACUUGUUGACUAUGAUUUGUCUUGUAGCUUACUCGCUUAUGUUAUUUUACCUACGCUUAGGAUGUUGAAGACUCUACAGAGAUA
rnacentral:rRNA from 1 species